rnacentral:rRNA from 1 species
CCUACGGGUGGCAGCAGUGAGGAAUAUUGGUCAAUGGACGAGAGUCUGAACCAGCCAAGUAGCGUGAAGGAUGACUGCCCUAUGGGUUGUAAACUUCUUCUAUAAGGGAAUAAAACGAGGCACGUGUGCCUUUUUGCAUGUACUUUAUGAAUAAGGAUCGGCUAACUCCGUGCCAGCAGCCGCGGUAAUACGGAGGAUCCGAGCGUUAUCCGGAUUUAUUGGGUUUAAAGGGAGCGUAGAUGGGUUGUUAAGUCAGUUGUGAAAGUUUGCGGCUCAACCGUAAAAUUGCAAUUGAUACUGGAAGUCUUGAGUACAGUUGAGGUAGGCGGAAUUCGUGGUGUAGCGGUGAAAUGCUUAGAUAUCACGAAGAACCCCGAUUGCGAAGGCAGCUUACUAAACUGUGACUGACAUUGAUGCUCGAAAGUGUGGGUAUCAAACAGGAUUAGAUACCCCGGUAGUC